UACGUAGGGUGCAAGCGUUUAAUCGGAAUUACUGGGCGUAAAGCGUGCGCAGGUGGCUCUGCAAGACAGAUGUGAAAUCCCCGGGCUUAACCUGGGAACUGCAUUUGUGACUGCAUGGCUAGAGUGUGGCAGAGGGGGAUGGAAUUCCGCGUGUAGCAGUGAAAUGCGUAGAGAUCAGGAGGAACACCCGUGGCGAAGGCGGCCCUCUGGCUCGACCCUGACGCUGAGGCGCGAAAGCGUGGGGAGCGAACGGG
rnacentral:rRNA from 1 species